rnacentral:lncRNA from 1 species
AGCAUUCGUAGUCGAUCGUUUGAUAGCAUACAAAGUUGGAGGUGUUAGUGGAAUGUACAAACCCAAACACAUCUCAAACGACAGUAGAAGAGAGUUUAGAGUGAACAUUAGUUAUGAUAAGGCGUGAGGGGCAUAAUGGUCUUUUCCUAAGAUCUUUUCAUUUUAUUAAAUUUUAAAUAAAAAGGGGAGAUAAUUUUUUCUCUUCCUCUCCUUCCUCAUGCUUUUAGAGACAUCAGCCGGCCCCCUUAUGUUGAAAUGCGUUUUUUGUCAACCAUCUCUCUCUUGCACGCUGGGAAUGACGCAACUCGUUGAUAAUAGCAACUCGUUGAUAAUAGCAACAUCUGCAUCGCUUGUCUGCUACACCUCCUAUGGUGCCCACGCUGCACCUUUGUUCAUCAAUUGUUGAUGCGCUACUCGACUAACCAGACGACGACCUGCACGUCGACGAAUAAAUCCAGCCACGCUAUUUUUCACACCAGCCACGAGUUUCUUCUUUGAUGCUUCCUCUUCAGUCGUUGCAUGGGAUAACUCGCGAGAGAUGAAGUUAGUUGUUGGUGUCUAUUCUUCUUUUAGAUCCACCAUUUAAAAAGUAAGAUUCUUAUGGUUUUGGGUUGUCUUUAUUACCCAUUACCCAUUACCCAUUACAUUUUUAUACUAGAUUUAAUUUAGGAAGAGUUUGAGUCGCUGUCCAGCUAGUUGGAAGCUCAAAAUUGGGCGUUUUUGCACGAAUGGGAUAAGAUUUUAAGACUCUUUGAGUGAGUCUUGAAUACCCAUUUAAUUCUAGUGCUAAUAUUGAAUAACCCUUGAUGUUGAAAGUUAGACUUUGAGAUUAAAAGGCCAUUAGAGUGUUGUCCAUUAGAAUUAAGGCUACUACGACAAAUUUUUAGUAAGAUUUUGGGUCAUUCUAGUAAGUUUCGCAAAUACCCAUUUAGUUUCGACAAGGUAUCGAUAAGGUUUCAGAUAAUUUUAGUGGGUUCUCUCAUAGUUCUUAAAUACCCACUUAGUUUUAGCAUGAACUUGAUUUUACCCAUAUUGUUUUUGUAUGAGAGAUUGAAAAUUUGGAAAACUUGAAAGCAUGGAUCAACACGUUUAAGGUCGUCUUGGAUAAGUUUGGGUAAGUUUCUAAGUAUUGACUCGUUAAAUUGGUAUUGAGAUUGUUAAUGGAUCUAAACCUCUAAAGUAUGGAUAUUGAAUAUAAGAGUGUGGAUUUAAAAGACAACUUAAGUUUGGGUGCAUAUGACGUUAAGAGUUUAAGUUGAAGUUUAAGGGUCCAAAAGUGAAGUUUUAGCCUAAAUUAAAGCACUUGAAGAACAGCUCAAUCUAAAUCUUAGGAAGUGCUUAAGGUUGUUGACUCUUGUUGAUAUAUUGGAUACAAAUCCCAAAAGAUCAGCAAUAAUGGAUAUAAAAGUGUAUCCACAUAAACGACCCAUUGAGUUUGAUGUAUUGAGAACGCGCAAACAUGUUUGGUACUAUAGCCCUUUUUAUUAGAAUAAUGAGGAAAAAAUGUAUAAGAAGAUAAUCAGAAAACGUAACUUGUGUUGUCAACACAUUAUUAUAUAUUUAGAAAUAUAACUUACAUAAGCAUCAUGCCUAUUUUACGUGAUUAUCAUGUUUAAAUGCAAGAUAAGUGGACAAGAAAGAAGCAAAUCAUAGAGGACACCUCGCGCAUAGGUCACGCGAUGGGAACUCACAUGGCGACUAACACCUCCAGACGAGGAAUUAUGCCAUCACGCGAGGAAAGCUCACUACAAGACAAGAAUGGUAGUUGGAGUGAUGUGACUUCCUAGAACCAAAAAUCGUGUGAUCUUCACCAAAAUCGGAGAGUGAUAUCUGAAUAGACCGC